GCCAGAGUCGCUUAGCGGCUGAGCGCCAGCCUGCAGAGUUGGUUACGGGAGUUCAAAUCUCCCCUCUGGCUCCA
rnacentral:tRNA from 1 species